AUUGAACGCUGGCGGCAUGCUUUACACAUGCAAGUCGAACGGCAGCGCGGGCUUCGGCCUGGCGGCGAGUGGCGAACGGGUGAGUAAUACAUCGGAACGUGCCCAGUAGUGGGGGAUAGCUCGUCGAAAGCCGGAUUAAUACCGCAUACGACCUGAGGGUGAAAGCGGGGGAUCUUCGGACCUCGCGCUAUUUGAGCGGCCGAUGGCAGAUUAGCUAGUUGGUGGGGUAAAGGCCUACCAAGGCGACGAUCUGUAGCUGGUCUGAGAGGACGACCAGCCACACUGGGACUGAGACACGGCCCAGACUCCUACGGGAGGCAGCAGUGGGGAAUUUUGGACAAUGGGCGAAAGCCUGAUCCAGCAAUGCCGCGUGUGUGAUGAAGGCCUUCGGGUUGUAAAGCACUUUUGGCGGGAACGAAAAGGACUGUGCCAAUACCACGGUUCGAUGACGGUACCCGCAGAAUAAGCACCGGCUAACUACGUG
rnacentral:rRNA from 1 species